rnacentral:misc_RNA from 1 species
GAACUUCUAUCUUCUUCAACAAUGUAGCCACAAAUAUUGACACUAUAGCAAGAAAAUAUUCACAAAUAUUUCCAUCUUUAAGAAACUGAAGUUCUCCAAGAUGUACAUUCUCCAGGCCAAUGGUAGUGUGUGUAUCCUAUAAAUGAAUUUUGCCCACUCUAUGUCUAUUUUAGCUUAAUUAUGUCGACAAGAAUGUCACUGUUAACUGAGGCAGUAACAGAAACUGUUAAUCCUCCGGCUAAUAAUAAGUUUUCACUAUCAACUUCAAAGUAAGAAGACAUUAAGAUUAAUGUCAGAAAGUAGUCGAAAUCACAAGCUAAAGACAAUAGUUAUUACAUCUACAAGUUAU